GAGAGAGAGAGAGAGAGGGUUCAGCGGGUUCGUCAGUGCGUUCAGGCAACAUUCAGCUCAGCACGGUCCACUCAGACUCAACACCCACGGAGAACAGACGGCGCGCGAUCUGGCGACUAUUUCUGAACACCAGCGUUCAGCCCAACAUUCAGUUCGGUCUUAGAGAGAUCUAGUUUACAAGUCCCAACAAGGAGUUUACACAAACGGGCCCCUCUGCAAUGACAUAAAUCAAGACGUUGGAAUACAGACAGUGCCCACGCUACAGGCGGACUGGACUGGACAGCACACGGGGUCAGGCCAAUUACAAGGUGGCAACAAUCUGUCAACAACAACGACGACAGGGAGGAAGACGAAGUGGAUCACGUGGAUCUCCCUGAUCGAAGUGUCUCCCGCAUUGGCAGGUUAUAUCACGACAGACGAGGACGUGCUGCGAUGGGCGGGACCCGGGACAGCGUGGCGGGGAGCCGUGUCACGUCAGCCUUCAUGUCGCUCAGCAGCUCCUCCAACUGGUUCAGCACUGACAUUACACCAACACAACGGGACAUGACCCCGAUGCGGGUGAGCACAGGCUGCCGACACAGGCCCUCCCUCGGCACGCCGUCGGCAAACGUCUCGGCACCGUCGGCCACGGGCUCACACAGGUGACGCAUGAACAGGGAGACAUACGCCCUGGAAAAGAGAAAGGGAGGAGAAAGGGAAGAGAUUGAUACAUAAGUGAGGGAGAGAGAGAACAGACGACAGAGAGGGAACAGACCGGCAGCAACGUUGCAGCAACGUUGUAGCAUGAAGAGCUCAGUGUAAGCUCAUACUUUAGCCUGCCUAUGACUCAAACAAUAAGGACGCCAUGCCAUAUCAGUCCCACUCCGCUCACUUGAACUCCUUCUCGCUCUUGCCCCUCAGGUCUCUGACCAGCCACUGGCAGGAGAAGGCGUCCUGUGCGGGCAUGCCCCAACGCAUCACCGCGUUUAGGAAGGCCUUCCUCUGGCGCGUGUUGAAGCCCAAUACCUAGAGGGUAGAGAGGGCAUAAGGACUUCAUAACACAUUCAUAACCAUACACUACCGUUCAGAAGUUUGGGGUCACUUAGAAAUGUUCUUGUUUUUGAAAGAAAAGCACAUUUCUUGUCCAUUAAAACAACAUCAAAUUGAUCAGAAAUACAGUGUAGACAUGGUUAAUGUUGUAAAUGACUAUUGUAGCUGGAAAUGACAGAUUUUUUUAAAUGGAAUAUCUACAUAGGCGUACAGAGGCCCAUUAUCAGCAACCAUCACUCCUGUGUUCCAAUGGCACGUUGUGUUAGCUAAUCCAAGUUGAUCAUUUUAAAAGGCUAAUUGAUCAUUAGAAAACCCUUUUGCAAUUAUGUUAGCAAGCUGAAAACUCUUGUUCUGAUUUAAGAAGCAAUAAAACUGGCCUUCUUUAGACUAGUUGAGUAUCUGGAGCAUCAGCAUUUGUGGGUUCGAUUACAGGAUCCUGAAACAAACAACUUUCUUCUGAAACUCGUCAGUCUAUUGUUCUGAGAAAUGAAGGCUAUUCCAUGCGAGAAAUUGCCAAGAAA